rfam:Salmo salar isolate Sally breed double haploid chromosome ssa01, whole genome shotgun sequence.
UGUAACCGGUCGUGUAGGAAGAUGGCCGGGAAUGCAAAAAUCUGAGGCUGGAGAAAGAGAAGGAAACGUUUUGAGUUCCUGAAUUAUUUAGAAAGGCGGCAUAGGAUAAUUAUGCCCGUUUUAUUGAGGCUGGAUUAGCCGAAGUCUAGAUGUUGUGUUUCACUACGUCUAAUGCAUGCGCUUUUACAAUGUGA